rnacentral:rRNA from 1 species
GAUGAACGCUGGCGGCGUGCCUAAUACAUGCAAGUCGAACGAACAGACGCAGACUUUGUUCGUCUGACGUUAGCGGAGCACGGGUGAGUAACACGUGGAUAACGUACCUCUCAGAGUGGGAUAACUUCGGGAAUCCGGCGCUAAUAGCGGAGGAUGUAUUGAUCCGUGUGGUUCAGUAGUGAUAUACGGGUUUGCUGUCACUUAUAGAUGUAUCCGCGCGGCAUUAGCUUGUUGGUAAGGUAACGGCUUACCAAGGCAACGAUGCGUAACCGAGCUGAGAGGGUGAUCCGCCCCACUGGAACUGAGGCACGGUCCAGACUCCUACGGGAGGCAGCAGUAGGGAAUCUUGCAGAAUGGGCGAAUGCUUGACGGAGCAACGCCGCGUGAGUGAUGAAGGUCUUCGGAUCGUAAACCUCUGUUAUUAGGGAAGCACCAAUGUGUAAGUAACUAUGCACGUCUUGACGGUACCUAAUCAGAAAGCCACGGCUAACUACGUG